AAAACUUCUAGGGAAAAUUGGAGGGUAAAAUUUCUCCAUCUGUCUUUGUGAUUCUUCCAUUCAUCAGGUUUUGAAAACUUAAAAACUCAUCUAGCCAAUGUCAGUUUGUAACAAAACAGUUUAUAUUUGAUGUGUUCGUUAUUAAGUAUUCACUUCAUUUUGUUAGUUUGCCCCAACAAACAUGGGAAGGUGAAAGCAUACCCUGAAUUUUGCUUCUCUUGGUGUAUGUGUUAGAAGAUGGCUGUAUAGAAAACAUUACUUGUCAGUGUCUAUAGAACAUUGAUUGGAAUAUAAGGGCAGGGAAGAUAAGUUUUAGGCUAAAAAUAGUUGUAAUGUGUAAAAUGUCUCCCAUGAUUUUAAGGGAAGUUGCUUCUAUGUAAUGUUUUUAUGUUUAUAGCUGGAAGUUACCCGGGGUCUGUGGUUAGAAGGGGGUUAUCAGGCAGAAAAAUGCCUUCCGCAGGCUGGGCUGGGCAAACCGAGCAUCUUGGUGGCAGCCUGAAGAGCAGUGAGAGGGAAAUCCUGGCUGUGUUUACCAAGCUUUAGCCAUCCUACAAAGCCCAGGAGCAUUACACUACCCAGAAGGUCAUUAGCUGAGUGCUUUCGGGCACUGCUUUACACAGACACCAAGACCAAAUAUGCUCCUAACAGAACUAAGCGUGAAACAUGGUUGGAGAGACUCCAGCAACACCGUUUUUGUCUGCAUUAGCCCACUCAAGUAAACUAAAAUGUGUGGUAUUUGUCCAGCCUCCCUGCACUUGGGCUGGAUGCCACAAGCAGCUCGGCUGCUGGAAGUGGGCGUUUCUUGGUGGGACUGCCAAGGAGCCUGGCCAGAGCUGCUGAGACUCGCCUGGGGGUCCCCACAGCCAGAAGGCAUUGCCUUUAAAUAUUUUAUAACUACCCUUUCUUGCUUGCUCUUUGUCCUGCUCUCCACCCAUUCAUUGAUCCAUGCAUCCACACAACACCCAAGGUAAGGCUCUCUUUCAUCGCACCAGAACUGCUCUCUGUGGUAGAACAAGGUCUAUAGGAAAAAAUAGGCUAAGGAAAAUGUCCUCUCUCCUUCUGCCCCUUCUCACUUUCAUCGCAGACACCUCUGGUUUCCAGACAGGCAGAACUUUAGGAUGGUGAAGACCAGGAAAUUUGGGAAGAUCCUCUCAGAGAGACUCGGAGCUGGCACUGCACGGUGCUUCAGUGCUGUCCUCAGCACCAAACAACCGUCCAGGGCAUGUCCCACGUGCUUGCACAGAUACAGCCCCUGGGCUUUCAGGACGACCUGUCUGUUGUGUUGGUGCCAUUGUAGGAAAAGCUGCCGUUGAGAGGAGGAACCUCCAGGAGCAUCUGUGAGCUUUGGGAGC
rnacentral:lncRNA from 1 species